AUGUUGGGUUGGUAAUGGGUGUGAAAGGUUGGGUUGGGUUGGGUUGGUGGAACUGGAAUAGAGAGAAAUUAUUAUUUUAUUAAAGGUUGGGCUGAGAAGGGUUGUGAAUAAGGGUAGUCUAAGUAUUUAUAAUAAAACAUUAACAUGUUUCUUUAUAAUUGAAAUGAUUUAUCUAUUAGCCUACAAGAAAUAACAAAAUUUAAUAUAAAAAUUAAAUGAUCUUCAAAGUAUUAUAAAAGAAAAUGUCUUAAUAAAAUCUUUGGAGAAACAUAAAAAUAGAUUAGAAGGUUAGGUUUAUGUGAACAAUAUUAAUUAAAAAGGUUAAAUAUAAUAACUUAAAUGUAAAAAUCUAAGAAAGGUUCUUAAAUUUUGGAUUAUACUUUUAAUUUUUGAAUCUUACGUAAUUUUGUUCCAAAACCGAACCGAACUGUGCACACCCCUAGCGUGCACCUUCACCUUGGCGUGCCUCUCACUGUUAUCCAAAGAAUAAACUUGGGUUAGUCAUAGCAGUCUUUAGUCUUCAAUUAGCUUUAGCAACAGUUUGAUAUUUUAGUAAUCGUCAGUGCACUUGUACGCAUAUUUUAUAUCAUUCUUCUACUUUUAUACUUUUUUGAAAGAGUAAAGUGCAAUUUGCCACCCUGUGGUUUGGUCCAGAUUGCCAGAUAACACCCUAUCUUCCACUUUUUGCCAUCUGAAACCAUGGGGUGGGAUUAAACUGCAAUUUGCCACCAUGUGGCUUGGUCUAGAUUGCCAGAUGACACCCUAUCUUCCACUUUUUGCCAUCUGAAACCCUGGGGUGGGUAUUUCAUCACACCCUGCCCCAGGACGUUAGUCAACAGUUAUGUUACCGUUAGAUUUAGGGGUAUAUUGGUCUUUUUACCCUCGAAGCUUCCUAACCACACCUUAGCUACUCCCUUAUCUUUACUUCAUCACGCCCUGACACCCCAUUCUUUACCAAACACUUUCCAUCUUCUUCUUCCACCGGCGAACCACCAAUCCACCGGCAAACGACAAGCCUCUGGCCACCGAUUCAGUCCAAAGACAUCGCGACAUGGAAUUUAUGGUUGAGGUGCAAAACGAUUCAGUCCAUGGUACGUAUGUGAAGUACAUUUCACUUGAAUCUGGUUUGAUUUCAGUCCACUGUACAUUUUAAGAUUACCCUCGUUUGAUUCAAAAUUAGGAUCGAUAAUGUGGUGGUUUGUGAUGAUUUGAUUGUAGCUGGAGUAAUGGUCACGAGACCCAGAACCAUUGUGGGGUGGUUCUGGUCAGGGUGGUGUUGCGCUGCUUGAACAACAUAUCGUUCAACUUUGGAGUGGUGUUCCCUGCAUCACCCCAACAAUCACGUCCACCGUCCCCAUGACCACAGAAUGCCAUGAUCCCAGUCUGGUCCGACAUCACCGUCACCAGAACAGAGCAUCACCCACCUUCACCCUCCGUCUCCAUCACCACAGAAUGCCAUGAUCCCAGUCUCUGGUCCGACAUCCCCACCACCAUCACCAUCACCAGAACAGAGCAUCGGCCACCUUCACCAAGACUAGUGUAAUACUAGUCUUGGUUAGUUUGAUUAAGGUUCCUAUUAUUAGGUUAUGUGUAAUUAUAAUUUGGAUAUGUAUAAUUAUGCUUUGGAUAUGUUUAUUUGCUUAGGUCGAUAUUUUGCUAUGUAUAAUUAUGCUUAGGAUAUGUUUAAUUAUGCUUUGGAUGUGUUUAAAUAUUAAUCUAUGAUUAUGUACUGCUUUGAUGUUCACAGUUGGAUAUCUAUACUUAUGCAUUGCUUUGAGGAUCAUUAAACUGAAUUUGAUGUCACAGUUGGAUAUCUAUGAUGAUGAUGAUGAUCAUGUACAUAAUUUUUCUGAUUAUGAUGAUAGGGUUUAGGGUUUAUUUAUUUUAAUAUAUACAGUUAGUUUUUAUGGUUAAAUAUGACCAAAUGGACCCCACAUAGGGGUACUUUAGUCAUUUUACCUUAAAUAUUAAAAUAAAUAAUCAUCUCCAACACCCACCUGCCACCACACCCCACCUACAACCACCAACACCACCAUCCACCUGCCACCCUGAUCUGACCUAAACAACCUCCUCCCUGACCUUAAACCCUAGCCCCAAAAACCCUAGUAGUCCUCCUCAUCUCCACCGACGGCACCACCACCACCUCUGCCGCCACGACAACCGGAGAAUGUCACCGUCGCCUCUCCCUCUUCACCUAUCCAACAAAAUCUCAACGAAACCCUAGAAAAAGAAACCCUAAUUUCUGAUUUUCCCCAAAUUGGAUCUCAUGAUUACACCUCUCUGCUCACCGAUCAAGUCGAACCCCACGAGUAAAAACGACAACCCUUGAAACAACAAGAAGUAGAAAUGGAUACCUUGAGCCGAUAAAAGACUUCUCGUAGAAGCAGUUAGUAACAAAAACGCCAUCAUCAACUCCUUUGUAUAGAUCCUAUUAUGCUUCUUCUUUUUCUCCUUUUCUUUCAACUCGGCUUCGAGUUUCUCGAGAUCGGGUUCCGACCCGGCCUGUUGGAUCUCUUUCGACUCGACUAACGAAACAAGAUCACCUUCGGAGGACCUUCCGGAUUUCUUGGUGACAACCCACUCGUACGCGCUGCCUAGCUGGAACAGGUUCGAUAUCAUGGCGUUGAAUUUGGUUACCGACAUUGUGUUUUCGAAGAGGAGAUAGGGGACUAGAAACGGGAAUGCUUUUGGGGACGGAAGGAUGCUGAGAAUCGACAUGGUGGCGGGGACGUAACAGACGAGGCGGUGAGGCGAGGCGGUGAGGCUUAAGCCUCACUAGACCUUGUGAAAAUUGAAAAAUUUUAGGUGAGAGUUCAUCAUCUAGGAGGAAAAGGAAAAGAGUUAUUAAUUUGGUUGAUGAAGAUGAC